rnacentral:rRNA from 1 species
GACGAACGCUGGCGGCAUGCCUAAUACAUGCAAGUAGAACGCACAGUUUAUACCGUAGCUUGCUACACCAUAGACUGUGAGUUGCGAACGGGUGAGUAACGCGUAGGUAACCUGCCUGGUAGCGGGGGAUAACUAUUGGAAACGAUAGCUAAUACCGCAUAAUAUUGAUUAUUGCAUGAUAAUUGAUUGAAAGAUGCUAUUGCAUCACUACCAGAUGGACCUGCGUUGUAUUAGCUAGUAGGUGAGGUAACGGCUCACCUAGGCGACGAUACAUAGCCGACCUGAGAGGGUGAUCGGCCACACUGGGACUGAGACACGGCCCAGACUCCUACGGGAGGCAGCAGUAGGGAAUCUUCGGCAAUGGACGAAAGUCUGACCGAGCAACGCCGCGUGAGUGAAGAAGGUUUUCGGAUCGUAAAGCUCUGUUGUAAGAGAAGAACGGGUGUGAGAGUGGAAAGUUCACACUGUGACGGUAUCUUACCAGAAAGGGACGGCUAACUACGUG